rnacentral:lncRNA from 1 species
GGGGGAUUUUGGGGAAAAUGGGGGUGAAAAUUUGGGGGGGAACGGUGAAAAUUUGGGGAAAAUCGGUGGAAAAAUGGGGAAAAUCGGUGGGAAAAUGGCGGAGUUAAGGGGAAAAAUGGGGAAGAAAGGGUUAAAAAUGGGGAUUUUUGGGGUGAAAAAUGGGGAUUUUGGGGUGAAAAAUGGGGAUUUUGGGAAAAUGGGGGUGAAAAUUUGGGGGGGAACGGUGAAAAAAUGGGGAAAAUUGAGCAAAAAAUGUUUUUGAGUUAUUUUGGGUUGAUUUUGGGUGAUUUUGGGGUGAUUUUGGGUCAUUCUGGGUGAUUUUGGGGUGAUUUUUGGUGUUUUGGGGUGAAUUUGGCUGAUUUUGGGGUGAUUUUGGGUCAUUUUGGGUUUUUUUGGAUGAUUUUGGGUGUUUUUGGGGUGAUUUUUGUUGAUUUUUGGUGAUUUUGGGGUGGAUUUGGGUCAUUUUGGGUCAUUCUGGGUGAUUUUGGGGUGAAUUUGUGUGAAUUUGGGUGUUUUUGGGUGAUUUUUGGUGAUUUUGAGGUGAUUUUUGUCGAUUUUUGUUGAUUUUGGAUGUUUUUGGGUCAUUCUGGGUGAUUUUGGGUGAUUUUGGGGUGAUUUUGGGUCAUUCUGGGUGAUUUUUCGUGAAUUUGGGUGAUUUUUGUUGAUUUCUGGUGAUUUUGGGGUGAUUUUGGGUUGAUUUUUGGUGUGUUUUGUUGAUUUUUGGUUGAUUUUGGGUGUUUUUGGGUGGUUUUUGGGUGAUUUUGGUUGUUUUUGGGUUGAUUUUGGGUGAUUUUUGUUGAUUUUGGGGUGAUUUUGGGUGUUUUUGGGUUGAUUUUGGGUGUUUUUGGGUUGUUUUGGGGUGAUUUUUGGGGUGAUUUUGGGUGUUUUUGGGUGAUUUUUGGUGAUUUUGGGGUGAUUUUGGGUGAUUUCCAGAUUGACAGCAUCGUCCUGAUGCGCGACCCCGAGACCGGGCAGUCCAAGGGCUACGGCUUCAUCACCUUCUCGGAGGCGGAGUGCGCCCGGCGCGCCCUGGAGCAGCUGAACGGCUUCGAGCUGCCCGGGGGGGCCGAUGGGACCCCAUUGCCUUCCCAAAAACCCCAAAAACACCCCAAAAACAAACCCCAAAAACACCAAUUUUAGCACUAAAAAAAUCCCCAUUUUUCGUUCCAAAAUCCUCAUUUUUAACCUCAAAAAAAUCAACAUUUUUUGACUAAAAAAUCCUGGGU